UAAGACCAAUUCCACAGCACUACCAGCCCCACCACCAAUAUCACCCAAAAGAUGGAGAGAAAAAUUGUCCUUUUGCUGCAGUUACUUAUAUGUUCAGUCCUUUUCAGAGGUAUCAAAUCUGAAGGUCUCCUUGAACAAUCUGGAGGAGAUUCGAAAAGACCUGGGGAGUCUCUCCGCCUUUCCUGCAAAGGUUCAGGGUUUGACUUUGACAAUGCUGGCCUGCAUUGGGUGCGACAGGCUCCAGGGAAAGGACUGGAAUGGAUUGCAGUUAUUUGGUUUGAUUCAAGUAAGCAAGAGUACGCAGAAUCUGUGAAAGGGCGCUUCACCGUCUCCAGGGACAAUACCAACCGCCAGCUGUAUCUGCAAAUGGACAGGCUGAGAAUGGAAGACACAGCAGUCUACUACUGCACAGCUUACACAGUGAGAGGAAGCUCAGGGUUUGAUUUUGGCAACGCUGGCCUGCGUUGGGUGAGACAGGCCCAAGGAAAAGGACUGGAAUGGAUCUCAGCUAUUUGGUUCGAUGCAAGUAAGCAAGUCUACGCAGAAUCUGUGAAAGGGCGCUUCACUGUCUCCAGGGAUAAUGCCAACCGCCAGCUGUAUCUGCAAAUGAACAGCCUGAAACCUGAGGACACAUCAGUCUAUUACUGCACAGCUGGCACACUACUUUUUUAUCUUACACCAAUAUUUUUUAAUCUUGGAGCAGGUCCACCAUAUGUGGUAGAAUGUUCCCUGCUUAUAGCCACAUCUCCAGCACUCUGGUGA